UUUAUGGAGAGUUUGAUCCUGGCUCAGGAUGAACGCUGGCGGCGUGCCUAAUACAUGCAAGUCGAGCGAACGGACGAGAAGCUUGCUUCUCUGAUGUUAGCGGCGGACGGGUGAGUAACACGUGGAUAACCUACCUAUAAGACUGGGAUAACUUCGGGAAACCGGAGCUAAUACCGGAUAAUAUUUUGAACCGCAUGGUUCAAAAGUGAAAGACGGUCUUGCUGUCACUUAUAGAUGGAUCUGCGCUGCAUUAGCUAG
rnacentral:rRNA from 1 species